UGAUUACCGCAGCAGCUCAUUUACUCCGUUUCCUUGGCUGAGCGAGGCAUUUGAGUUUGAUUAACAAGAUUUUCUACUUGACGUUCAACUCUCAUUUUCCGAAGCGCUGAGGACGGGACUUCCGUCCCUCUCCAUCACCUCUGCCAACUUACGCCUCCGCCUCCGGGCCUUGGAGCCCCCUUGGCAAUGGCCAGUCCUGCGAUUGGUUCCCAGCGGUGAAGGAGCUACUGACUCCGACCUUGUCUGAAGGUUACUUCUCAAGUCCGUGCAUUUUCUCAGCGAUGUGCAUUCAAAUUAGGUGCUGGUGAUACAAGAGUGAAGCUGGCAGUAGAAGAUUCCUCCCGUCUCAGUCCUCGCCUUCAGAGGGAGGAAGAGAGACAACAAACAAGUGAACAAAAUAGGUGGCACCGGUGGUGCAGGAGAGUGAAAAGACGAUGCCCAAAGGAGGCAGAGGGCAUGAACUUGGGGAAUGCACCUGCGGCAGGAAGGGAAACAUUUCCUCCACUGGGGCCGAAGGAAAGGAGAAGAUGGAUGCCCGUGCUUCUGAUGUGGCACCUGGUAGGAUGAAUUAAGGACCAUGGCCGGCACCUGGUAGGAUGAAUUAAGGACCAUGGCCAGCACCUGGUAGGAGGAAUGAAGGACCAUGGCUGUUAUCUGAGAGAGGAGGGGAGAAGGGAACCUGGAACACCUCAGCAAAGAGGACAAGGGAUCUAGCAUUUUGAAGACACACAAUUUAGCAGACAUUCAAAUUCGCUGAACAGAUGAAUUCAGAGGGGAGGUGGAGAUCUCAGAUGGAAGAGAUGUUCGAGGAAGAAACUGCAUGGAGGCCUGAAACGCAUGGUCCCCUCUACAAACCUGAAGAGGAAGCCGUACAAGAGAUCCAAGAGUCAUGCUGGGACUGUGUAGUUCAUACUCCUAAAGGAGAUAACCCGAUUGGCCCAGCUCCUGCCUCCUCAAUAUGCUGACCACCCAAUGAGUUCACUGCUCUUGGUCAUAUGCACUACUUUUAGUCUGCUCAGCAAUGUAAGAUGUGGAGAUCUCAUGUUCAGAACGGACUGUGCAUUCAGCAGGAUGGUACAGAGAUUUUGGUAUUUCAGAAUUGCGGAUAAUGGAAUGCGGAUGUGAAUAUCUCUAAAGAAAGAAAGAAUCAUAGAGGGGAGAAGUGAGCCAUGGAAGUGUAGAAAAGGGAGAAGCGUGGAGAACAUGUGAGCAGUGACCAGUCAAGCAUUACCCAGAAAGAGGCAGGAUUUACUAUAUUCUGAUUCCAUUGUCAAGGCCAGCGUUGUAGAAAGAAAGAAAGAAGUGCUGAGCUCUCUCAACUGAGAUCACUAAACAGUUGGCUCAUUUGAACAGUAUUUUUCUACUCUUGUACUCCCCAAGCCACUGGACAAUUAUCAAUCUUGGCAUAUAUAAAAUAUCUGCAGAAGAGAAUAAUCUUUUCACAACUUUGGGUUCCUACUUCUGUAAUAGGGCAAAGAGGCAAGGGCAGAGAGCAGUCUACAUAACUUGGAAGGAUAGUGUCGUGUGGAGAGGGCAGACUUGAGAGACACUGUGCCCUUGGGUCAAUGGAACAGACAUCUCCAGAUGACCCCAGAGAGAGGAAGCAGAGGAAAAAAUAAAGGGAAGAGGGUAAGUUCCUCAGACAUCUAAUCCACAGGCUUCAUCUUAGAUCUCAUUGGCCAGACAUGGAGCAUUCAUCACCAUAAGCCCCUGGCAGGUUGGGGAUGUGAGUAUUUUCAUUUUCACUUUGAUUGUAGAGGGAAAGCAAGGGAUACUGGAAUGGCUUUGGAUGGUCAAUCUACAGUAACUGUCCUUCCUUUGUUUGGGUCUGAUGACAUAUUUUUCUAAGAUUAAAAAAAAAAGGAUAAAGCUAGAAAAGUAAAGAGUAUAUGUUUCUUCCCAUCUAGUAUAUAAAAACUAAGAAGUUUAGAAUAACUAAUAUGUAUGAAGACACCAGACAGACUUAUCAUGGGCCAUAUGAUAUGUCAAAUUGUAAGGCUGCUAAGAGAGAUAAGCUCAGAAAACUCACAGGACAAACAGCAAACCAGUAAAAGUCCUUCCGUUGAACCCCUUGAUCAUGUGGUAGUUGUGGAACAGUGUUGGGCAGGAGGCAGAACUAAUGGAAGGGGACAAAUGAAAUUCAGCUUGUAAAGUCAUUGUAAAAGUCUCUUUCUCUCUUCAAAAUCGGCUUCAUUGAAGACCUCACCCAAGAAGAAGGGAGGGGAAGAGAAUGAGCUCCGCCUGGCGUAAGCCAUUCGUCAUAUGAGCCGAGUGCUCUUGUAAAGGCCUCGUGUUUAUGAACUCACAUAAUUCUCAGAACAACUCUUAGGAGACAGACACUAUUUUUAUUCUCAUUUUGCAGACAAGGGACAGGUUUCCACAAGGAAAUUAAGAAGCUUGCUUGUGACCUCACAAAUGGCAAGAGCUGGGCCUUGCCGGCAGGUGUCCUGGCUCCAGAACCUGUGCUGACAACCACUUACCCUCUACUCCACUGAAUCUCCCACUAUUCUGUUCGGCAAACAAGAAAGUCCUACUUCACUUUACUCCUUGUCAAGAGGACCCUUCACGACUACAGAAUAAAACCUGGUACCUAGGACACCUUGAAGGCUAGUAAGAUAGCAAAAACACACUUCUUUCUGUGGUGGCAGGAAGAGGAUGCCCAGCCCUUUAUAAUGACAUGAGCUGGCGGGCUCUUGGCUGGACAUCAAGGAAGUAGACGUCCGUUCACUCCAGCAAUCACCGUGAACAUUUCCAUUUUUGGAGCCCCCUUUUCUCCUUUAUAGAACACAAUGAUAGGAUGCGAGGAUAUCUCAGGGUUUGUGGUUUUAAAAGUUGUGGGAUUUUGGGGCGCCUGGGUGGCGCAGUCGGUUAGGCAUCUGACUUCAGCCAGGU